rnacentral:rRNA from 1 species
CCUACGGGAGGCAGCAGUGAGGAAUAUUGGUCAAUGGGCGAUGGCCUGAACCAGCCAAGUAGCGUGAAGGAUGACUGCCCUAUGGGUUGUAAACUUCUUUUAUAAAGGAAUAAAGUCGGGUAUGCAUACCCGUUUGCAUGUACUUUAUGAAUAAGGAUCGGCUAACUCCGUGCCAGCAGCCGCGGUAAUA